AGAGACAGCAGUAGCCGCGGUAAUACGGAGGGUGCGAGCGUUAAUCGGAAUUACUGGGCGUAAAGCGUGCGCAGGCGGUUUUGUAAGACAGGCGUGAAAUCCCCGGGCUCAACCUGGGAAUGGCGCUUGUGACUGCAAAGCUAGAGUGCGGCAGAGGGGGAUGGAAUUCCGCGUGUAGCGGUGAAAUGCGUAGAUAUGCGGAGGAACACCGAUGGCGAAGGCAAUCCCCUGGGCCUGCACUGACGCUCAUGCACGAAAGCGUGGGGAGCAAACAGGAUUAGAUACCCCCGUAGUCCCUGUCUCUUAUAC
rnacentral:rRNA from 1 species